UUGGAGGGCAAGUCUGGUGCCAGCAGCCGCGGUAAUUCCAGCUCCAAUAGCGUAUAUUAAAGUUGUUGCAGUUAAAAAGCUCGCAGUUGAAUUUCGGGGUUCUACCGUUGGUCGGGCAAUAGUCUGUACUGGCGUGUAGAAUUUCUACCUUCUGGGGAACUAUCAUGUUAUUUAUUUAGCGUGGUAGGAAACCAGGACCUUUACCUUGAAAAAAUUAGAGUGUUCAAAGCAGGCUUACGUCUGAAUACAUUAGCAUGGAAUAAUAAAAUAGGACGGUGGUCCUGUUUUGUUGGUUUCUGAAUCACCGUAAUGAUUAAUAGGGAUAGUUGGGGGCAUUAGUAUUCAAUUGUCAGAGGUGAAAUUCUUGGAUUUAUUGAAGACUAACUUCUGCGAAAGCAUUUGCCAAGGAUGUUUUCAUUAAUCAAGAACGAAAGUUAGGGGAUCGAAGACGAUCAGAUACCGUCGUAGUCUUAACCAUAAACUAUGCCGACUAGGGAUCGGACGAUGUUAAUUUUUCUUGACUCGUUCGGCGCCUUACGGGAAAC
rnacentral:rRNA from 1 species